rnacentral:rRNA from 1 species
CCUACGCGAGGCUGCAGUGGGGGAUAUUGCACAAUGGGGGCAACCCUGAUGCAGCGACGCCGCGUGUGGGAAGACGGUCCUCUGGAUUGUACACCACUGUCCCCAGGGACGAAAAUGACGGUACCUGGGGAGGAAGCUCCGGCUAACUACGUGCCAGCAGCCGCGGUAAUACGUAGGGAGCGAGCGUUGUCCGGAAUUACUGGGUGUAAAGGGAGCGUAGGCGGGGAUGCAAGUUGGGUGUAAAAACUACCGGCUCAACUGGUAGUCGCACUCAAACCUGCAGCUCUUGAGUGAAGUAGAGGCAGGCGGAAGUCCUAGUGUAGUGGUGAAAUGCGUAGAUAGUAGGAGGAACACCAGUGGCGAAGGCGGCCUGCUGGGCUUUUACUGACGCUGAGGCUCGAAAGUGUGGGGAGCAAACAGGAGUAGAUACCCCAGUAGUC